rnacentral:rRNA from 1 species
CCUACGGGUGGCAGCAGUGAGGAAUAUUGGGCAAUGGAGGCAACUCUGAACCAGCAACGCCGCGUGAAUGAUGAAGGUCUUCGGGUUGUAAAGUUCUGUGUUGGGGGAUGAAAACUAUGACGGUACCCCAAUAGCGAGCCACGGCUAACUACGUGCCAGCAGCAGCGGUAAUCCGUAGGGGGCAAGCGUUAUCCGGAUUUACUGGGUGUACAGGGUGCGUAGGCGGCGAUGCAAGUCAGAAGUGAAAGCCCGGGGCUCAACUGCGAGACUGCAUUUGAAACUGUGUUUCUAGAGUACAGGAGAGGUAAGUGGAAUUCCUAGUGUAGCGGUGAAAUGCGUAGAUAUCAGGAGGAACUC